GUCGAGCGAGGUAGCAAUACCUAGCGGCGGACGGGNGAGUAACGCGUGGGAACGUGCCCUUUGCUUCGGAAUAGCCCUGGGAAACUGGGAGUAAUACCGAAUGUGCCCUACGGGGGAAAGAUUUAUCGGCAAAGGAUCGGCCCGCGUUGGAUUAGGUAGUUGGUGGNGUAAUGGCCUACCAAGCCGACGAUCCAUAGCUGGUUUGAGAGGAUGAUCAGCCACACUGGGACUGAGACACGGCCCAGACUCCUACGGGAGGCAGCAGUGGGGAAUCUUAGACAAUGGGCGCAAGCCUGAUCUAGCCAUGCCGCGUGAGCGAUUGAAGGCCUUAGGGUUGUAAAGCUCUUUCGUGGGGGAAGAUAAUGACGGUACCCCAAGAAGAAGCCCCGGCUAACUCCGUGCCAGCAGCCGCGGUAAUACGNAGGGGGCUAGCGUUG
rnacentral:rRNA from 1 species